rnacentral:rRNA from 1 species
UAACUUUCAGCAACGGAUCUCUUGGCUCUCGCAUCGAUGAAGAACACGGCGAAAUGUGAUAAGUAAUGUGAAUUGCAGAAUUCAGUGAAUCAUCGAAUCUUUGAACGCACCUUGCGCUCCUUGGUAUUCUGAGGAGCAUGCCUGUUUGAGUGUCAUGG